rnacentral:rRNA from 1 species
AAAGACCGCGAGGCAGAGCGAAUCCCUAAAAGACCGUCCCAGUUCGGAUUGCAGGCUGCAACCCGCCUGCAUGAAGUUGGAAUCGCUAGUAAUCGCGGAUCAGCAUGCCGCGGUGAAUACGUUCCCGGGCCUUGUACACACCGCCCGUCACACCAUGAGAGUCGGGAACACCCGAGGUCCGUAGCCUAACAGCAAUGGGGCGCGGCCGAAGGUGGGUUCGAUAAUUGGGGUGAAGUCGUAACAAGGUACC